CUGUACUUGCCGAGAACUUCUCCAACAGCUAGCUGCUAUUUUUAUGCAGCCACAAGGAACUGAUUUAUCUGUCAGUGCAGGAGAAUGUGCUUUGCAAAGCGACUUUGUAGGAGGUGAAGAAGGAAGAGAUGAAGGUGAAGAUGGAAUACAUUGAAAAGAUGGACAAAUGAACAAGAAAUUGAUGUGUGUGGUACAAAGAACAUGAAAAUUUACCUUACAAGAAGGGUAUUUUAUGCACGGAUUACCAGCUGUGCUCUAAUACAUAUGGCUGAUACAAGAUACUGUUAAGGUUUGGACAACACAAUCCUUUAAUGGGGAUAAAAAAUUCUUUCCUUUACGUCACUAUGAAGUCUAAGUAGAUCAGAAACAGGCCUAGGUCAGGAUCUGUUAGUACUGUUGAAUACUUCUAAAGCAGUAUCAGGUUAAUUUUAUGCUGAUGAUAUUUCUAAAUUAAAGUUUUGGGUUGGUGACUUUUAAAUGAAAGAAGAAAAUAUGUAUGAAUGAAGAAAAACAUCUAUUUGGUUUGCUGAGGACCUGCUGAUCAGUGGGUUGCUGAUGUGGAUUGACUGGGGUUAGAAAGUGAAGUAGAGCCGAUAGAGCUUUGGCAGCAAGUAUGUGUGCAAUACAAAACAGAAGCAGAGGGAACUCAUGACUUUAUUUUUCAGGAUCUUGCAACAGCAUGGGAGUAGUGGCAACACUGACAUGGCCAGGGCACCAGUAUCUAUCUGAAGAGAGAAGAACAAGACAGGGGACACAGAAUCUGAUGAAGUCCUGUCAUUGUGCUGUGCUUGCCUGGCAUGGCCGGAACUGGUGUACUUCAGACACCACACACCUGGGACGAGUACAUGGGCUAUGGCAGCUGCUCUCUAACAGAUCUGCUCAGUUUUGAAAGAAGCUAGUCAGAAACAGGUGUCAGAGGACAGAAUUGAAGGAAAAACAAAACUCAAUUGUCUGAUUAAAAAAAAAGCUAGAAUUUGGAAUUCUUAAAAAUAGGUAAGUUCUUCUUCUACCUGCAUAUU
rnacentral:lncRNA from 1 species